AAUUGGAGUGAAUCUCAAUCCGUAAAUUAGGUCAACUAAUCUCAAUAUCCCAAAACAACAUUCCAACGCAUGGGAUGACCUCAUUAAGGAGAAGAAAACACGCGCUCCUAAAACGGAGCGCAAAAACUAAACCGAAAAUGCGUCAGGUCCUCGCUGUAAUCUGGAAUUACAAUUCUACCCCCAUCUUUCCCCGCUCUCUCUCUCUCUCCAAUUUCUGGGUUCUUUGCUUCUUAAAUUUCCGUACGAUUUUCCUCUGUUUUUCGUACCCUUUUUUCCCCUUCAUCCUUCCAAUUUUGGAAUUAGGGUUUGAACGAUUCGCACAGAAUCUAGAGAGAGAUGGGUAGCCCAAAGAAGGAUCAAAACAAAGGCUUCUUCGCAGCCAUGAGUUCCGGCCUCUCCAUGUUCGGCAACGCCAUGCACCUAUCCGUCGGCGGAUAUACUCUUAAUCACUUUUGGAUUUGGGUUCCGUAAUUGGAUUGAGCUGUGACAUUUUGAUCUUGCAUGCGAAGACUGUGAUGUAUUUGGUUGUAUGGGUUAUUGAUAUGCAACUUUGUGAGUGAAUUGUUGAAUGGAGAGUUCUGUUUUCGAUUUUCGUGGUUUGAUUUGUAAUUGUGAGUUUGAAGGGUUUUAGGAUGAUUAGGUUAGUUUAAAGAGACAAUGUGGUCUUUGUAUCAGCUCUUGGAUUACUAUACGAGUUAACUUGAGUUAGUUUUUUAA